GGAUACUCUGGGACGGAGGAAAUGUCAAACCCAACCAACCAUAUUGUCUCCUCUAAUCCUCUUAGUUCUCUUUGGCUUGAGCAAAAUGGGACUCCUUCCAUGUCCGUUUCCUUGCACCACUGAGAAAGAAUCUCAGUCCCACUCUAACAGCCUCCGCUUAUCAGAAUCAUCUACCUCCGCCUCCUCCCUCUCUUCUCAAAUAAGUCUACCAUCUGUCCCUUCCCUUAUUCCACCAUCUUCUCAACAGCAUGAUCAUCAAAUCUCCGUCGUCUACCACCAAUGCCUGGCCACACUCGGUGGCCACUCUUCUUACGUAUUCUCCCUCACUCUGGCCGGGAACCUCCUCUAUAGUGGCUCUUCAAACAGCGAGAUGCGAGCCUGGAGACGAGACCCUUCAAAUUCUGUACAUCCAGACUCAACUGAUAAAAUAGUAGCUACCAGUAUUGGAGCCUUUAAGUCGCUAGUUAUUGUAGGAGAUAGGCUCUUCAGCGCUCACCAGGAUUGCAAGAUCCGUGUAUGGAAAAUUAACAACAAUAACGACGAUAUGCACCAAAAGUAUAAUUGCAUAGCCACUCUCCCCACAUUGAACGAUCGUUUCUUGAGGUUCUUUUCAGGAAAGAACUAUGUACAAGUGAGGAGACACAAGAAAUGCACAUGGGUUCACCAUGUUGACACCGUAACAGCGCUAGCAAUUUCAAGGGAUGGCUCUCUUCUCUUUUCUGCUUCUUGGGACCGGACGUUCAAGGUGUGGCGAACCUCAGAUUUUAGAUGUUUAGAGUCAGUUUCUAAUGCGCAUGAUGACGCCAUCAAUGCCAUGAUAUUGUCAAAUGAUGGAUUUGUUUAUACGGGUUCGGCUGACAAGAAAAUUAAGUCAUGGAACAAACAGGCAGGAAAGAAGAAGCAUUCCCUGGUGGCAACAAUGGAGAGGCACAACUCAGCAGUUAAUGCUUUAGCUCUUAGUACAGAUGGGUCUGUGCUGUAUUCUGGAGCUUGUGAUCGAUCUAUUCUUGUUUGGGAAAAAGAUGCAAAUAAUAGCAGCGGUGGUGGACAUAUGGUGGUGGCAGGUGCGCUUAGAGGGCACACCAAGGCAAUUUUGUGCAUGGCAGUUGUGUCAGAUUUGGUAUGCAGUGGAUCAGCUGAUAAAACAGUUAGGAUUUGGAGGAGAGGGGUAGAGAAGAAUUAUUAUUGUUUGGCAGUUUUUGAAGGACAUAGAGGACCAGUUAAGUGCUUGACUGCAGCUAUUGACCAAAGUGAUAAUAAUGGUAGAGGUAGUGUUCCUGAUUCAGCUGGUACCUCUUAUCUUGUUUACAGUGGUAGUUUGGAUUGUGAUAUUAGAAUUUGGCAUAUAUACUUGGGUUCCAAUUCUUCGAUUUCAUAGAAAUUUAUUUCUUUCUUUACGAUUAAAAUGGUAAUCUUGUACAUAACAAUGAACAAAUUUGCUGUUACAUUUAAUUACUUUGUAUUCGAUUAUAAUUAAUAUGUGUUAGCAUUGACAUUUUGACUAAAUAAGAAAAUAGUGUUCUCAG
rnacentral:misc_RNA from 1 species